CCCACGCCCAAAACCUUUUCAACUACAUCCCUUUGUCAAACCUAAUGUUUUUUCACGGUUACUAUUCCCUUUCCUUCUGUUACACAAUUGAAAUUCCUAUCCCCCACGUUUUGAUUCAUUGUUUCAGGCUUAGUCCCUUCCCCUUCCCCACCUUUUGAUUCUCACUGUUUCAGCUUUUGUUCUACUGUUUCACUCACGGUUUCAUCUUCCUGUUCUACGGUUUCAGCUUCUGUUUUGGCUUCUAACGGCAGCCCCUAUUUCUUCCUUCCUUCCUUCCUCUCCUCACAUCUAUAUAAAUACUGACGUAAGCGGGUGGUUCAGUUGAGCUAGGUUAUUUAAUUGGAGCACUGCUUCUUUUGGGUAUGUUCAUUCUGAUUUUCUAACUAUAUUAACUCUGUCAUGGCGUGGGUUUUUCUAACCAAGUGGUGGCUUAAGAAAAGAGUGAGGACUUCAUUGAAAAUGAAUUUUACACCAAUGCACCGGAUUAACUUUCAAACAAUGCCUUAUCUUUUGAUACCCAAAAUAAAUAAAUUGGAUUAAGAAAUUGAUUACAAAUUUAAUUGGGGUCAAGGAGAAAAUUUUAAUUUUAUAGAAAUCAUAUUCUAGAAUUCAAAUGCCCCCACCACCCCAACUAUCGAUGUAAAAAAAGGUUUAAAAUUUUAUAAAUCCUUUCUUUCUAUUAAUUCUAUUGAGGCGAAGAGUCUUUAGGAUUCAAACUUGAUUUUGGCCAUGUGUGAAUUGGACUAGACCUGUUUUUACAUUUUCCUUGUGAGUUAGACCUUUUAAAAGGUUUGACAUUUGCAUGGAUGGAGAUAAAACCCUCUGGUAGAACUCCAUAUGGUUUCUCAGUCCCCUUUUUAAAUAGGCGUAGAGUGUUGUGCAAGAUGUUACAAGUGCCAUUCAAUUGUUUUUUGUGUUUUCUUUUUUAUGAGAUCCAUUGUGAAUUUUUUCCACUAAUUUGGAUGGUUCUCCAAUAUUUAUGUGCCGCCUUAAACAACUGACUGUUUAAGCUCUUCAAAUUCGUCCUUUUGUACUCCACUAUAAUAAUUAAUUUAAAAGAAAAGAAUCUGAAUCCUAUUUCUCUUUCCUAUGAAUCAUAGGCUAUGAUGUUACUGAAGAUAUUUCUGAAAUCCUCUUAGCUCUUCUUUUUUUUGGCCACCACCUGCUCAUAUAUUUUUCUUUUUCUAUCUAUGUUGAAAUUUCAAUAAAGAAAAAAAAUGUAAGAUUCUUCACAUUUACAAUAUGUUACAAAAUAUCUAUGAGUGGGAAAUGUAUUUUGCUCUCCAGCUAAGGAACUUAAUCUAAUAUGGAUGUUAUUGUUCAGCCUAAUGUAUAGGUUAUGUAAUUGUAAAGCCAUAGUCAUAUGGAACAUGUUAUUGUGUAUGUGUGGGAGCAAAUUUCAUAUUCGUAAUGCAAAAAAUACAAAGAAUUCUCAUAUAAGCCACUCCAUAGAUAUUAGAGAUUUGCAUAAUUGUUAAUUGCUGGAUCUUCUGAAAGGUAUUCCGAUGUCUUAGAUUAAAUCUCCUCCACCCAGUGGACAACUUUAAAUCAUGGACAAUCAAUAUGACUAUAGAAUCUGGUAAGUAGAAAAUAUGUCUCUUGAUAUGUAGGGAUCCUACUAUAUGCAGAAUUGAUACCUUCAUGGCCCCAUCCUAAACACUUCUACUAUCUGCAUAUUUUUUUACUUAUUCAUUUUUCUUUUUCAGGCAGGUAAUUCAUUGAAACAAAUCUAAGAAACAUUAAGAACACAAAAUAUCCUCACAAGGCAUCCCAAUAAAUAUGGGAAUCACAUAUUACAAUUUACAACCAAUACAUUUCACCUGUUCCAUUUUGUUUUAUUGGUAAGUUACCGACGUACCUAGCAGGUUUUAAACUUUUGACCUCACCUUUCAACUAAUUAUUAUAGGAGAAAGAAGUGCCAAUUGAGCUAUAUUUAAGCAUGUAUUUUGAUGAAAUAUGUACUGAUUGCCAUGUUACUCUUUGCUUGAAAUGUUCAGGUUUCUUUUUUUCCUAUUGGAUGUUCUUUUUUAUUAUCUGCAUUGAACAACUUGCUAAAUACAGGUUUUGUUACAAAGCAUGGUUUAAUACAUCAAGUUUCUAAUCAUAUUUGCAUUUUGGAGAACUAUGUGAGUGUGGUUUCUAUGAUAGGUUACUUUCCCUAUAUCAGUAUAUUGUCUUUGAAGGAAAUCGAGUACUUACCUUAAACUUGACUUUAACUGAGUCCACUUCAGAGAUGUAUUCACGAAAAUAUACGCUUAAAUGGCCAUGAAUAUUUGGAGUCAAAACUUUUGCAUCAUUUUCCAUAUAUGUGAAACUCAGCAAAAUAAUAUCGUAGGCCAUCAAAUUUGAGAUUGUUAGUAGAUCUAUAAGAUUACCCCAGAUUGAUGUAAAGUUAAAUGAAAUACAUAGCACAAUUGCUCAAAAUUUUCAAGAUUGUCUGAAGAAAAUUUCCCAAUACUGCAUUUAUACUUGUAAACUUGCAUUCGAACCAGUGUAUCUUGCCACAAGUUGUGAUGUAGGAGCAACAUUAGAGUCCUUCCAUAGUAUCUCAUAUGCCUUUUGGGAUGUGAUUUUACAAAUUCUCUUUUGUAGCUCACAAUAAAUAACCGAAGUGCAUCAGCCAUGUAUCAUAUGCCUUUUGGGAAAUUCCAUUGUUGCCCGAACAAUUUAUGUAACCAAAAGAAAUAGGACAUUGUUGAAUGAGUUGCUUUGCUAGGAAAUCCCAUUGUAAAUAGAGCUGGAUUGUUUCUUCAAAUGUGUCCAACUCUCAAUUAUAAAUAAAAUGAACAUGCUAUGCUAAGAUUUUUUUAUA